AAUUACUUAUAAUUAAAAGAAAUAAAAACAACUAAAAUUGGAAAUAAAACUAAUUUUAUUAAUGAAAAUAAUUAUACAAAAUAUUAAAAACACACCUGGAAAUCAAGAUUACAAGGAGAUGGAGAGAAUUUGAGAAGAAGAGAGUUGUAGAGAGAUGAUUAAAACAUAAAAAUGAGGCCCUAUUUAUAGAAAAAAUAAAUUCAUAAUCCCGUGCUUUGCGGUCCAUCAUAGGCUUCAUGCAUGUGCUCCUCACAACCCUUAGAUCAAGAUCCAAUGGCUGGUCAAACUUCAAAAGUCAACAUCACACAUGGCAUCAUUUGACUCGUCCGAUUUACCCAAAGAACGGUUGAGAUUUGGCGGGUUAAUGGGUGGAUCGGGUCGACCC
rnacentral:lncRNA from 1 species